rnacentral:rRNA from 1 species
UGGGCAAUGGGCGAAAGCCUGACCCAGCAAUGCCGCGUGCAGGAUGAAGCCCCUAGGGGUGUAAACUGCUGUCAGGGGUCAGAAAGCUGGUUUCGGCCAGUUGAUCAACCCCAGAGGAAGUCACGGCUAACUUCGUGCCAGCAGCCGCGGUAAUACGAAGGUGGCAAGCGUUAUUCGGAAUCAUUGGGCUUAAAGGGCACGCAGGCGGAACAGUGUGUGUUGUGUGAAAUCCCCCGGCUUAACCGGGGAAUUGCACAGCAAACUGCUGUUCUUGAGGCAGGUAGGGGUGCAUGGAACUCUUGGUGGAGCGGUGGAAUGCGUAGAUAUCAAGAGGAACGCCAGAGGUGAAGACGGUGCACUGGGCCUGUCCUGACGCUGAGGUGCGAAAGCGUGGGGAGCGAACGGGAUUAGAUACCCCGGUAGUCCACGCCGUAAACGAUGUCUACUAGGUCGUGGGUGUUCUGACACAUUCACGGCCGGAGCAAAAGUGUUUAGUAGACCGCCUGGGGAGUACGGCCGCAAGGUUAAAACUCAAAUGAAUUGACGGGGGCUCACACAAGCGGUGGAGCAUGUGGAUUAAUUCGAAGCAGCGCGCAGAACCUUACCUGGGUUUGACAUGCUCGUAUGCCUUCUCUGAAAGGAGUUAGGCUGCCUUCGGGUGAAACUUGCACAGGUGCUGCAUGGCUGUCGUCAGCUCGUGUCGUGAGAUGUCGGGUUAAGUCCUUUAACGAGCGAAACCCUUGCCGUUAGUUGCCAGCGAGUAAUGUCGGGGACUCUAACGGGACUGCCGGUGUUAAACCGGAGGAAGGUGGGGAUGACGUCAAGUCCUCAUGGCCUUUAUGCCCAGGGCUUCACACGUGCUACAAUGGCAAUUACAGAGCGACGCGAUACCGCGAGGUGGAGCAAAUCGCAAAAAAAUUGCCUCAGUUCGGAUUGCAGGCUGGCAAUUCGCCUGCAUGAAGUCGGAAUCGCUAGUAAUCGCGUAUCAGCAAUGACGCGGUGAAUGUGUUCCUGAGCACUUGUACACACCGCCCGUCAAGUGAUGG